rnacentral:lncRNA from 1 species
AUGCUGGCAGCCGCAGGCCUGCAAUUAACAAACGAGGUGCAUAGAUCGGUGCCUGCAAUUAACAAGGAGUGGAGUAGAGAUCGGUGCCUGCAAUUAAAAACAGAGGUAGAGGAGCGAUCGGUGCCUGCAAUUAACAAGGGGUGCAGCGAUCUGUGUCUGCAAUUAACAAACAGGGGUGGAGAGAUCGGCGCGCUGCUAAGCGCAGGCACCGGGGCCCGCCGGCGAGCGGGGGCUGGACCCCGGUGGGCCGGCUCCGGGCUCACCCGGUGCGGAGGGGCGGGCCGCCUUCCCACUGGUCCGCUCCAGCCGCGCGGCCUGCUGGCCACAGUUCCCAGCGGGCACCACCCGCUCGCGAGCCAGGCAGCCCCGGGCGGCGCGCGCCGGUCCGAGGGCGGGGACGUGCUCCGAGGACGCGCGCGGGGCUGGGCCUCCAACCGCCGCUCGCGGGGAAGAGGGCGGCUUCCCGCAAAGCCCGCCGCCGCCGCCGCCGCCGCCGCCGACUCGGAGGUGCCGAGGGUUGUGGGGGAGCUCGGGGCGCGCGGGAACAUCGCCGUCGCCCGGCGCGGCCCGGAGAAACUCUCGGCGUGGGCCACAGAACCCUUUGUCACAGGAGCAAUGCUGCCCUGGUGGGAACUGUCCUUUUACCUGUUAGCUUCCAUAGGCUUCCACUUCUAUUCCUUCUAUGAAGUCUACAAAGUCUCCAGAGAACAUGAAGAGGAGCUGGACCGAGAAUUUGACCUGGAGACUGACACUUUAUUCGGAGGAUUAAAGAAGGACCCGACUGACUUUGAGUGGAGCUUCUGGAUGGAGUGGGGGAAGGAGCGGCUGGUGUGGUUAUUCCUUGGCCACAUGAGCGUGUCUCAAGUCGCCAACCUGCUUUCGAGGAAGCACAAACCCUGGAUCCUCGCAGCCUAUGGGAUGUGGGCCUGCCGCUGCGUGCUGGGGACCCGAGGCACCGCCAUGGUUCUUAUUCACACCACCGUCUCCUUCUGUGUUGCUCAGUUCCGGUCUCAGUUCCUAUCAUGGCUGUGUUCUCUCUCUCUGCUGUCUACACUGAGACUGCAAGAUGUGGAGGAAGUUAAGAUGCAGCAGCAGGAGCAGAGCUCGCCGAAGACCAGCCUUUCCAUCCUUGCCUUGGGGCUGGGCCGUCUCCUCUUCUACUGGUGGCUGGCAGAGCUGAUGGUUCAUCUCAUGUACAUGCACGCCAUCUACAGCAGUGCCUCCCUCCUGAGGGCCGUCUCGAGCUGGACCUUAGGAGGUCUGGCGCUGGCCCAGGUGCUCUUCUUCUACGUGAAGUACUUGGUGCUCUUCGGUGUCCCGGCUCUGCUCAUGCGCCUGGAUGGACUCAGGCCGCCGCCGCUCCCUCGCUGUGUGAGCACCAUGUUCAGCUUCACGGGGAUGUGGAGGCAUUUUGACGUUGGACUACAUGAUUUCUUGGUUAGGUACGUGUACAUCCCAGCGGGCGGGUCACAGCAUGGCCUGCUGGGGGCCCUCUUCUCCACUGCGAUGACGUUCGCGUUUGUGAGCUUCUGGCACGGCGGGAACGACUACCUGUGGUGCUGGGCCACCCUCAACUGGCUGGGGGUCACCGUGGAGAACGGCGUCCAGAAGCUCGUGCAGAGGCCGCGCAUCCAGCACAGCUUGGCCCAGUUCCUCUCCCCAGGAGCUCGCCGGCGAUUGCAUGCCGCUCUUGCCUCUUGUUCCACCUCCAUGCUGAUCCUGUCCAACCUGGUGUUUCUUGGGGGCAGUCAAGUCGGGGAAAUCUACUGGGAUAGGAUCUUCAUACAAGGCUGGCCGUGUGUGACCCUGUCUGUCCUGGGAUGCCUGUACUGCUACGCGCACGUGGGCAUUGCCUGGGCCCACACUUACUCUGGUAACUGA